AUUGAACGCUGGCGGCAGGCCUAACACAUGCAAGUCGAGCGGAUGAAGGGAGCUUGCUCCUGGAUUCAGCGGCGGACGGGUGAGUAAUGCCUAGGAAUCUGCCUGGUAGUGGGGGAUAACGUCCGGAAACGGGCGCUAAUACCGCAUACGUCCUGAGGGAGAAAGUGGGGGAUCUUCGGACCUCACGCUAUCAGAUGAGCCUAGGUCGGAUUAGCUAGUUGGUGGGGUAAGGGCCUACCAAGGCGACGAUCCGUAACUGGUCUGAGAGGAUGAUCAGUCACACUGGAACUGAGACACGGUCCAGACUCCUACGGGAGGCAGCAGUGGGGAAUAUUGGACAAUGGGCGAAAGCCUGAUCCAGCCAUGCCGCGUGUGUGAAGAAGGUCUUCGGAUUGUAAAGCACUUUAAGUUGGGAGGAAGGGCAGCAAGUUAAUACCUUGCUGUUUUGACGUUACCAACAGAAUAAGCACCGGCUAACUUCGUG
rnacentral:rRNA from 1 species